AACUUUCAACAACGGAUCUCUUGGUUCUGGCAUCGAUGAAGAACGCAGCGAAAUGCGAUAAGUAAUGUGAAUUGCAGAAUUCAGUGAAUCAUCGAAUCUUUGAACGCACAUUGCGCCCCUUGGUAUUCCGGGGGGCAUGCCUGUUCGAGC
rnacentral:rRNA from 1 species